rnacentral:tRNA from 1 species
UCCGGUAUAGUGUAACGGUUAACAUAUCGCGUUUUCAAGACUUUGAUGAGUCCAAGAUCCGCGGGGCUCGGGGUUCGAUUCCCCGUACCGGAG